rnacentral:ncRNA from 1 species
GAUAAAUUUUUUAUGGUUGAAAAAAAUUUAUUUUAAGUUUAUUUUACAUAUAAAUUUUAGUGUUAAUUAUUAAUUAUUUAGAAAAUAAUUUAUAUAUAAGUAGUAAUUAAUAUUAAAAAUUUAAGAAAUUAAGAUUUAGUAAUAUAAUUAAAAUUAAUAACUAAUUUUGUGCCAGCAGUUGCGGUUAAACAAAAGUUAAUUUUAAAUUUUUUUAGUGAUUAAUUAAUAAAUAUUUAAAAAUAUAAUUUAAAUUUAUAAUUAUAAGGUGAAAUUUUAAUUUUAUAAAAAAUUAUAUAAAUAUUAUGAAUUGAUAAAUUUUAUUAAAAACUAGGAUUAGAUACCCUAUUAUUAAAAAUUUAAAUUAAUAAUAUACUUAAAUAGUAGGUAAUUAAAUAUUGAAACUUAAAUAAUUUGGCGGUAUUUUAGUUUAUUUAGAGGAAUCUGUUUAAUAAUUGAUAAUCCACGAUUAAAUUUACUUAAUUUAUUAUUUUGUAUAUCGUUGUUAAAAAAAUAUUUUUUAAUAAUAAAUAAUAUUUAAAAUUUAAAAUUAAAAAGUUAAAUCAGAUCAAGAUGCAGAUUAUAAUUAAGAAUAUAAUGGAUUACAAUAAAAUUAUUUAAUUUGGAAUUUAAAUUGUAAUGUUUAAAUGAAAUUGGAUUUAAAUGUAAUUUUAUUUAAAUUAAUAAAAUGAUUUUAAAUUAAAAUAUGUACAUAUUGCCCGUCGCUUUCAUUAAUAAAUUGAAAUAAGUCGUAACAAAGUAGAAGUACUGGAAAGUGUUUCUAGAAAGA